rnacentral:rRNA from 1 species
UACGGAGGGUGCAAGCGUUAUCCGGAUUCACUGGGUUUAAAGGGUGCGUAGGUGGGCAGAUAAGUCAGUGGUGAAAUCUCCGAGCUUAACUCGGAAACUGCCGUUGAUACUAUUUGUCUUGAAUAUUGUGGAGGUAAGCGGAAUAUGUCAUGUAGCGGUGAAAUGCUUAGAUAUGACAUAGAACACCAAUUGCGAAGGCAGCUUACUACACAACGAUUGACGCUGAGGCACGAAAGCGUGGGGAUCAAACAGG